UGGGCCGUAGCCAAGUGGUAAGGCAUCGGACUUUGACUCCGACAUUCGUGAGUUCGAACCUCGCCGGCCCAACCA
rnacentral:tRNA from 3 species